GAGCGGAGCGGGGAGCGGAGCGGGGGAGAGGUGGCGCUCCUGAGAAAGGCGUUUGUUUGGGAAUGAAGAAGGUUUGGAUCCCGGUGCAUCCCGGGGGUUUCGAUGUUUCAAGUUCCGCUACUGUGAGAGUGUGAGAGAGAAUCCUCAAACUGUAUUUCUGGGCCUGAUGGGGAAAAUGGCAUCUACAUCAAAGGAAGAACAUUUCACAGCAGUUGAUGUUACAGGUGCCAUGAAAUGCGCACAAGGCCAUUGGUAUCCCUAUAUACCAGUCCCUAAUGGAAACUGGAUUGUGGUGACUAGAGUGAGAAUUUGAGGCACCUCAUGGCACUGUCUCAACUUCACAGGCUUUACAACCAAGUUCAUCUUCCUUUUAUGCUGGUAUUGAUACCAAGUCAACAGUAUAUUAAGUUCAUUCAAACUUCAGCAGAUCUACUGCAGCUGCUACAGCAAGGCUGUGGCUGCUCCCGUCCUUGAGGAAAGGAACACCGUGGGAGAAGGGCCCUUUCUGUGGGCUGUGCCUGGAAAUCACCAUCUUUUCUGCUUGUUGAUGCUCCAGCUGCAAGCCACUCCAAACAUCUUGGAGAGAAGGACCUGCAAGUCUUUGCUUCAGCAGGCACAGGAAUCAAUAUCUAUUUGCUAUGACAAGGACUUAGAGCAGCCACAUUUCCCGUUGAGCUGUGCCUGCCUGGGCUCUAAAUAGCCCCAUACCCCAUCCUGUCAUUAGUAUCAGCUUGAAAAUUCUACGGUCUUCCAACAGGAGAUUCCAAUGGUUUCACAGGUGAUUCUGGAACUAGUUUGGUUUUGAGUAAGGGCUUUUUUGGUAUAAGUUUUGACAUAGCCUCUGUUAUGUAUCUUUAAGAUCCUUUCCCACCCAAACCAUUCUGUGAUUCUGUGAAAGAAAAUGCACAGAUUCUCCCAAACUAAACUUUAAGAGAAUAUUUAUUCCUUAACAAGCAAUUCUACGAGGUAUGCAUACCUCUUAUUGUUACCAAAGAGUUCAAGUCAAUGAACUGAAAUCCAUAUGGAUUUCCUGAUGGCUUUUUUUUCCUAUCCCUAAAGGCUUAUGGAAUGAUAAACAGAUCAAAGAAUGGUUGUAGAAUGGUUGGGUUGGAAAGAUCAUCUCAUUCCAACCUCUCUGCUGUGAGCAGGGACACUUUCCACUAGACCAGGUUGCUCGGAGUCCCAUCCAACCUGGUCUUGAUUUGGAGUACAUUCAGUUCUAGGAAAUUCAGGUUUUUGUGUCUUAGGUACAGGCACUUAUUUGCAAAGUAGCAGUAUAUAUUUGUAAGUGUAGAUAUAAAAAGAAAAUAAACAGCUACUUAUAUGUAGCAGCUAAUCUUU